rnacentral:rRNA from 1 species
CCUACGGGUGGCUGCAGUGGGGAAUAUUGGACGAUGGGGGCAACCCUGAUCCAGCCAUGCCGCGUGUGUGAAGAAGGCCCUCGGGUUGUAAAGCACUUUCAGUGAGGAAGAACGCCUGGUGGUUAAUACCCAUCAGGAAAGACAUCACUCACAGAAGAAGCACCGGCUAACUCCGUGCCAGCAGCCGCGGUAAUACGGAGGGUGCGAGCGUUAAUCGGAAUUACUGGGCGUAAAGCGCGCGUAGGUGGCUUGAUAAGCCGGUUGUGAAAGCCCCGGGCUCAACCUGGGAACGGCAUCCGGAACUGUCCAGCUAGAGUGCAGGAGAGGAAGGUAGAAUUCCCGGUGUAGCGGUGAAAUGCGUAGAGAUCGGGAGGAAUACCAGUGGCGAAGGCGGCCUUCUGGACUGACACUGACACUGAGGUGCGAAAGCGUGGGUAGCAAACAGGAUUAGAUACCCCGGUAGUC